rnacentral:rRNA from 2 species
ACGGGAGGCAGCAGUGGGGAAUAUUGGGCAAUGGGGGCAACCCUGACCCAGCAACGCCGCGUGAGGGAUGAAGGCCUUCGGGUUGUAAACCUCUGUCCUUGGGGACGAACAAAUGACGGUACCCAGGGAGGAAGCUCCGGCUAACUACGUGCCAGCAGCCGCGGUAAUACGUAGGGAGCGAGCGUUGUCCGGAAUCACUGGGCGUAAAGGGUGCGUAGGCGGUCAUUUAAGUCAGAUGUGAAAUACCCGGGCUUAACCCGGGAGCUGCAUCUGAUACUGGACGACUUGAGUACAGGAGAGGAAAGUGGAAUUCCUAGUGUAGCGGUGAAAUGCAUAGAUAUUAGGAGGAACACCAGUGGCGAAGGCGGCUUUCUGGACUGUAACUGACGCUGAGGCACGAAAGCGUGGGGAGCAAACAGGAUUAGAUACCCUGGUA